CGAUUAAAAACGCAGGGAACGAGCAGGAGCUUCACCAAAACCCUAACUCUCACUAAAUCAAUCAAUUGAAGGCUCUAAUCUGGUCCAAAUCGAAAUCCGAGCACGUAUUAGUGAUCCCCACUGAAAAAGGAGUCACAAGUUUGACUCUAAACAAGCUAGGUGGGAGCUUGGAAAGGAACGGGUCAAACGAAUGAUGGAUGCGAAGGAUGUUUGCGCGGACGCGAGGGUAAAACGGCUUAUGGAAUUUACGUGGCUAUGAAUCAGCAAAUUAUUAAGGCAAGGUAUUAAAACGGGUCAAUACUUUGACCCGCGCUAGGUACGCGUAAAUUUGGUGAAGAUAUGUGAAUACCUUAAUGUAGAAAAAUGACAUGUUAAAGUAGAGAGUGGGAUUUAAACUUAAAUGAUUAAAUUUUCUCUAACGGGUCAAAAUAUGCAUUUAAGCGUAGACGGGUCAAAAUCUUGUAAAAAGGUAAUAAGCCGAAUGCAU